GCCCUUUAUUGGUUGUCCAAUACAGUGAUUACCCUUGAAAUCAUAUGCAUACUAUUAACAAAAACAUUCAGUGUAUAUAUGUAUAAUGUUUGCGUAUAUAUACAUUAUAUAACAAUGCAUGUAUGUAGCAAUAAUAAAAAAGGUUAUCAACUUGAGAAUGGGGGUGUGGGAGGAACUGGAGGGGAAAGUGACAUAAUUUCUAUUUUAAUUAAAACCAUUAAAAAAUUUAAAAGCCUAUUAAAUACAUAUAGAAUUUUUUGUUGUAACAGUUAUUUGUAUGUGUCCACAUGUCCACAACACACAUAUGGCAGACAGAGGACAACUUGCAAGAGUCCGUUCUCUCUACCAUUGUGGCUUCUGGCAAUCAAACUACGUUAUUUCAUAUUUUGAGUUACUGAUGUUUUUAUGAGAAAAUAUUUAACUUCUCACACUUCUUUCUAACUCAAGGUCUUAUUCCAAUAUGUUUUCCUAGUCAAUAUGAAUUUGGUCAGUUAUUAUUUGUCUAAUGUGUCAAGUAUAAGAAUAACAUUUUGAGUGUCAGCCGUGGAGAACUCUUAACCCAUUUCUACCCAUUUGUGGUGUAUUUUAGUCAUUUACAGGUGGAGGGUACAGACUGGGCA
rnacentral:lncRNA from 1 species